rnacentral:rRNA from 1 species
UACGUAGGGUGCAAGCGUUAAUCGGAAUUACUGGGCGUAAAGCGUGCGCAGGCGGUUAUGCAAGACAGAUGUGAAAUCCCCGGGCUCAACCUGGGAACUGCAUUUGUGACUGCAUGGCUAGAGUGCGGCAGAGGGGGAUGGAAUUCCGCGUGUAGCAGUGAAAUGCGUAGAUAUGCGGAGGAACACCGAUGGCGAAGGCAAUCCCCUGGGCCUGUACUGACGCUCAUGCACGAAAGCGUGGGGGAGCAAACAGG